CCCACCAGAACCACCUCUUCUCGUCGCGAGUCCGAGCUAGUAUAAAUAAGGGGCUAGGCGCCAGUCUCCACAGCUAUAGUUAGUUUCCAAUCUCUUGGUUAUUGGUAGAAUAUUUAGAAUCUGCCAAAUGUAUCGAAGGCCGAUCUUCACAAAGAUACUCUCACGAACAGAUGUUAAACAUAGGAUGACCAUUCCAAUGGAGAGCUUCAAUGUUUUCCAAAUCCCUCAGGGAAAACACUCCAAACGAUUUGUUUUUAUUGACAUGAUCGAUACUGGUCGCCCCUGGAGCUUCCGAUGUUCCACAAGGAAGAAAGAUGUCUACCCCAAACCAGUCUUCUCAUCAGGCUGGAUUAAGUACGUCAGACGAAAGGGUCUCAGAGAAGGCGAUCAAGUCAGCUUCUUUUUCGUGGAGAAAGAUGGAGAGGAGGGUCUGCGAUUCGGAGUUCAAGCACAGAAAAAACUCAGGUUAUGGGGUAAAGAUUGUUGGACUGCUCCUUUUUGAAGAAGAAGAAGGAAGAAGAAGAAGCAUCUAGUCCAGGCACAAAUGAAAUUAUCAGCUUCGAAACGUCCUGCAUUCCUAUAUUAGUUUACUUCUAGAAUUAAUCAGUUUGAAUUUCCUGCAAGUGUGCUAGUGGUACCGUCAUUCUACCUCUUUAUCCUCUCUUGUUAUGCAUAUAUUGCUUCUUUUUCUUAAUGAAAGUCUUGACUAGCUAGCAAGAGAAUGGUAUUGUAGUCUAAUUCUUGAAGUCUCAUUACAUUAGAUUCCUAAAAAUCAUACAGGACUAGGUAAUUAUAAGAGAAAUGUUUUAGAUUUUUCCA